CCUCAGCUUUGGCCCAAGUCAUGGCUUUUGGAACGUAGUGGAAACAGCGACCGCUGAACUCAGACCAGCGACCAGAACAAGCUGUCGAACUCUUGACCAGGUGACUCUUUGCUGAGAACAAAUAGAGUUUGGAGAACCAGUGGUUCUGGAUUGAUGGUACACCUUUUAACUACUUGAACUGGUGUGCUGGAGAGCCUAAUAAUCUGGGCGGCAGGCAGAACUGUUUGCAAAUCAAUCAUGGAGAUCAAAAGUGCUGGGAUGACU